ACAUGCAAGUCGAACGGCAGCGGGGGCUUCGGCCUGCCGGCGAGUGGCGAACGGGUGAGUWAUGCAUCGGAACGUGCCCAUGUCGUGGGGGAUAACGUAUCGAAAGGUACGCUAAUACCGCAUACGUCCUGAGGGAGAAAGCGGGGGACUCGCAAGAGCCUCGCGCGAUUGGAGCGGCCGAUGUCGGAUUAGCUAGUUGGUGAGGUAAAGGCUCACCARGGCGACKAUCCGUAGCGGGUCUGAGAGGAUGAUCCGCCACACUGGGACUGAGACACGGCCCASACUCCUACGGGAGGCAGCAGUGGGGAAUUUUGGACAAUGGGCGCAAGCCUGAUCCAGCCAUGCCGCGUGAGUGAAGAAGGCCUUCGGGUUGUAAAGCUCUUUCGGCCGGGAAGAAAUCGUGUUCUCUAACAUAGGACAUGGAUGACGGUACCGGACUAAGAAGCACCGGCUAACUACGUGCCA
rnacentral:rRNA from 1 species